AGUGAACGCUGGCAGUAGGCCUAACACAUGCAAGUCGAACGGCAGCACAGGAGAGCUUGCUCUCUGGGUGGCGAGUGGCGGACGGGUGAGGAAUACAUCGGAAUCUACUCUGUCGUGGGGGAUAACGUAGGGAAACUUACGCUAAUACCGCAUACGACCUACGGGUGAAAGCAGGGGAUCUUCGGACCUUGCGCGAUUGAAUGAGCCGAUGUCGGAUUAGCUAGUUGGCGGGGUAAAGGCCAACCAAGGCGACGAUCCGUAGCUGGUAUGAGAGGAUGAUCAGCCACACUGGAACUGAGACACGGUCCAGACUCCUACGGGAGGCAGCAGUGGGGAAUAUUGGACAAUGGGCGCAAGCCUGAUCCAGCCAUACCGCGUGGGUGAAGAAGGUCUUCGGGUUGUAAAGCCCUUUUGUUGGGAAAGAAAUCCAGCUGGCUAAUACCUGGUUGGGAUGACGGUACCCAAAGAAUAAGCACCGGCUAACUUCGUGCCAGCAGCCGCCGUAA
rnacentral:rRNA from 1 species